AGGUGCAUUCCACAAGCUACUUAGUGGAAAAGCAGAUUCCUAACUUGUGUCCAGUCCUGCACAUUUAGGGGCUAUGAAAGGCUAUUUCCGGCUGUCGUGCUAUGUCUGUGCUCUCUUCGUCUUGGGCGUCCUGCAACAGAGAAUCAACUGAGGUCCCUUCUUCAAAUGCCCUCGCCUGAGUCUACAUAAGGCUGAGGCCCAGGAGGGAGGGGGCUGCACUUGGGACCACUGGGAGGCCAUUUGCUCCUGAGCCAGGGAUGCAAGCGGAGCAGGUGAGUCGGUGCGGGGACCCUUUGCUGAGCGUGAAGCCUCAGGGAAUUGCAAAUGAAAGUCAGUCCCCCGUGAGAAAAGGAAGCAAUAGUUCUAGCAGUGGCUUUAGUAAUGAGGUAGUUGACGAGCUGUAGUAAGAGCAUUAAUUGCAGAAGUAGCACAGUAGAACUGGUAGUAGCAAUAGUCCUGGCAGUGGUGGUAGUACUAAUUGUUGAAGUAAUAGUAACUAUAGCAAUGGCUGUAUUAGUGGUGGUAGCAGUCCCAACAGUCCCGUAUAUAGUCCUUGGCGAGCAUCUGGAGCUGCUGUACACAUGCAUUCCGUAUAUGAACUCACCUAAUCCACUCAGUGA
rnacentral:lncRNA from 1 species